rnacentral:lncRNA from 1 species
CCCCUGCCUUCACUCUGCUUCUAAAGUCAAUGUGUCAUCCCCCUCGGCCCACCCCUUGACCUGGAUUUCUCCCCAACUGCCCUGCCUCCUCUGGGCUCACCCCUUCCCCAUUGCCUCAUCUGCUACUCUCCCUUGCCUGGCUCUCUACCCUCUGACUACAUUCUCGCUGGGGACCUGCCUUCUCUUCUUUCCAACUGGACCUGGACUGAAACUCUGAGGCCAUUUCUCUGGUGACGAAAUCCCUCACAUCAGGAACGGCUGCAGAUAAAAGCAAACAUCUUAGAAGAGCAAGUGUGACAUCUGGUUCGCUAUCAGGAAUAAAUCUCUACCUGCCAAGCAAGACUGUAAGGCAAUCUGGAACCAGUUACUACAUAAACUUGUUUUAUUUCAAAACCCUAUCACCUGACUUACCUUUCUAUUUAUUGCCUGCCUUGAAUUCAUUCUUCACCAGUGAGAUGC